GGGUAGAUGACUGAGUUGGUUUAAGGUGUUUCGCUUGAAACGAAAAAGGGUUAUGAAUAACCCUCAUGGGUUCGAAUCCCAUUUUACCCG